rnacentral:rRNA from 1 species
AUGUAGCAAUACAUGGCGUACUGCUCAGUAACACGUGGACAACCUGCCCUUAGGACGGGUAUAAACCCGGGAAACUGGGUAUAGUUCCCGAUAGGUCUCGUCUGCUGGAAUGCAUCGAGAUCCAAAGCUCCGGCGCCUAAGGAUGGGUCUGCGGCCUAUCAGGUAGUAGUGGGUGUAGCGUACCUACUAGCCUACAACGGGUACGGGUUGUGAGAGCAAGAGCCCGGAGAUGGAUUCUGAGACACUAAUCCAGGCCCUACGGGGUGCAGCAGGCGCGAAAACUUUACAAUGCUGGGAACAGCGAUAAGGGAACCUCGAGUGCCAGGUUACAAAUCUGGCUGUCGUGAUGCCUAAAAAGCAUUAUAUAGCAAGGGCCGGGCAAGACCGGUGCCAGCCGCCGCGGUAACACCGGCGGCUCGAGUGGUAACCGUUAUUAUUGGGUCUAAAGGGUCUGUAGCCGGCCGGAUAAGUCUCUUGGGAAAUCUGGCAGCUUAACUGUCAGGCUUUCAGGGGAUACUGUCUGGCUCGAGGCCGGGAGAGGUGAGAGGUACUUCAGGGGUAGGGGUGAAAUCUUGUAAUCCUUGAAGGACCACCAGUGGCGA